rnacentral:rRNA from 1 species
GAUGAACGCUGGCGGCGUGCCUAAUACAUGCAAGUCGAGCGAACGGACGAGAAGCUUGCUUCUCUGAUGUUAGCGGCGGACGGGUGAGUAACACGUGGAUAACCUACCUAUAAGACUGGGAUAACUUCGGGAAACCGUAGCUAAUACCGGAUAAUAUUUUGAACCGCAUGGUUCAAAAGUGAAAGACGGUCUUGCUGUCACUUAUAGAUGGAUCCGCGCUGCAUUAGCUAGUUGGUAAGGUAACGGCUUACCAAGGCAACGAUGCAUAGCCGACCUGAGAGGGUGAUCGGCCACACUGGAACUGAGACACGGUCCAGACUCCUACGGGAGGCAGCAGUAGGGAAUCUUCCGCAAUGGGCGAAAGCCUGACGGAGCAACGCCGCGUGAGUGAUGAAGGCCUUCGGAUCGUAAAACUCUGUUAUUAGGGAAGAACAUAUGUGUAAGUAACUGUGCACAUCUUGACAGUACCUAAUCAGAAAGCCACGGCUAACUACGUG